UGGGGAAUAUUGGACAAUGGGCGAAAGCCUGAUCCAGCCAUGCCGCGUGUGUGAAGAAGGUCUUCGGAUUGUAAAGCACUUUAAGUUGGGAGGAAUGGCAUUAACCUAAUACGUUAGUGUUUUGACGUUACCGACAGAAUAAGCACCGGCUAACUCUGUGCCAGCAGCCGCGGUAAUACAGAGGGUGCAAGCGUUAAUCGGAAUUACUGGGCGUAAAGCGCGCGUAGGUGGUCUGUUAAGUUGGAUGUGAAAUCCCCGGGCUCAACCUGGGAACUGCAUUCAAAACUGACUGACUAGAGUAUGGUAGAGGGUGGUGGAAUUUCCUGUGUAGCGGUGAAAUGCGUAGAUAUAGGAAGGAACACCAGUGGCGAAGGCGACCACCUGGACUAAUACUGACACUGAGGUGCGAAAGCGUGGGGAGCAAACA
rnacentral:rRNA from 1 species